rfam:Triticum aestivum genome assembly, contig: Triticum_aestivum_CS42_TGACv1_scaffold_623153_7DS
AUAUUACUCCCUCUGUCCGAAAAAGCUUGUCCACCAAAUGGAUGUAUCUAGCACCAAGUUAGUGCUAGAUACAUCCAUUUGAGGGACAAGCUUGGGACAAGCUUUUUCGGACGGAGGGAGUAGAUG